rnacentral:rRNA from 1 species
AUAUUGCACAAUGGGCGCAAGCCUGAUGCAGCAACGCCGCGUGCGCGACGAAGGCCUUCGGGUCGUAAAGCGCUUUUCGGUGAGCUGAGCACGGACGGUAUCCCCGGAGGAAGGAUCGGCUAACUACGUGCCAGCAGCCGCGGUAAAACGUAGGAUCCGACCGUUAUCCGAAUUCACUGGUCGUAAAGCGCAUGCAGGCUGGCGCACAAGUGGGAUGUGAAAUCUCCCGGCUCAACUGGGAGGGGACGUUCAAAACUGUGCGGCUCGAGGGCGGUAGAGGAAGGUAGAAUUCCCGGUGUAGUGGUGAAAUGCGUAGAUAUCGGGAGGAAUACCCGUGGCGAAGGCGACCUUCUGGACCGUUUCUGACGCUCAGAUGCGAAAGCUAGGGGAGCGAACGGG